rnacentral:lncRNA from 1 species
UCCAAAAAUAAAUAAAUAAAUAAAUGGAAACACAUCCCAUUUAUAGAUUAGAAAACUUAAUAUUUUUAAGAUGUUAUUACCACCCCCCAAAGUUAUUUACAGAUUUAAUGCAAUCUCUAUCAAAAUCCCGAUGAUUUCUUUUUUGUUGAAACAGAAAAAUCCAUUCUAAAAUCAAUAUAAAAUCUCCAGAUAUCCCAAAUAGCCGUAAUAAUCAAAAAAAAGAAGAAAGUUGGAAGACAAACAUUUCCUGAUUUUAAAAUUUUCUACACUACAAAAAUCCAAAAAAAUGGACACAGGACUUGAAUAGAUUUUUUUUUCCCCAAAAAAGUAGCAGAUAAACAAACCCAGGAAAAGGUGUUCAAUAUUGCUAAUCAUUAGAGAAAUGCAGAUCAAAUCUAUAAUAGAUAUCAUCUCACACCCAUUAGGAUAACUACUACCAAAAUAAAACAAAAUAGAAAAUAAAUGCUAGCAAGAAUGUGAAGAAACUGAAACUCUUGUGAACCAUUGUGAGAAUGUAAAAUGGUACAGCUGGUGUGAGAAACAAUAAAUAAAAAAGAUUCCUCAAAAAACAAAUUGCACUUCUAGGUAUACACAAAAGCAUUGCAGACAAGGUUUCAAAGAGAUCUUUGUACACCCAUGUUCAUAGUAGCAUUAUUCACAAUAGCUAAAAUGUGGAAGCAACCCUAAUGUCUCUGGACAGAUGAACGGGUGAGCAAAAUAGCAUAUAUAUAUUUAUUCAGUACUAAAAAGGAAGGGAAUUGUCACACAUGCUGCAAUGCAGAUUAUUUGAGGACAUUAUAUGAAGUGGAAUAAGGCAGUCUCAAAAAUGCAAAUACUAUGUAAUUCCACUUCUAUGAAGUGCCUAGAGUAGUUCAAAUCAUAGAAAGUAGAAUGAUGGUUUCCAGGGUCUGGAUGAAGAAGAGGAAGAGGAGUUAUUGUUUAGUGGGCAUAAAGUUUUAGUUUUUCAAUAUUAAACAAGUUCUGGUAAUUUCUAAUGGUGAUGGUUAUACAAUAAUAUGAAUGUUCUAAUACUACAGCUGUAUACUUCAAAUGAUUAAGAUGGCAAAUUUUAUGUUAUGUGUAUUUUAUCUUAAUAAAAAUGGGAAAAUUGAAUGUAACAAUGUCAAAUUUGGAUGAGGGAAAAUAAUAUAAUUAUUAAUCAUGUGACAUGUCAAAAUUCAAUUUAAUCUCUUCAGAAGGUAAACAGACAUUAUAUUUUUAAGAAGCUGUAAACAUUAAGGAAUAUAUUUAAGAAAGUUUUCCAAAAUAUGGAGAAUGGGGAAUUGACAUGAACAUAUAUGUUAUUUGCAGAGCUAUAACCUUGAAAUAUUAAAAGAUAGCUAAGUAUUUAUCAAUAAGGUAAAGUUCAGUAAAUUACAAUGUAAUAAAUAAAUUAACUAAACAAAUUUUUCAUGAAAAUUAUAUAAUGAAAAAUACUUUAGUUGUACAACUUAUUGUUUUAAAUUUCUAUUCCAACAAUGUAUUUAUUUAUUUAUUUUUAAAGAUUUUAUUUAUUUAUUCAUGAGAGACAGAGAGAGAAGCAGAGACACAGGCAGAAGGUGAAGCAGGCUCCAUGCAGGGAGCCCAAUGCUGGACUCAUCCCAGGUCUCCAGGAUCACACCCUGGGCUGAAGGCAGAGCUAAACCGCUGAGCCACCCAGGCUGCCCAAAUUCAUUCUCUUUAAUGAACAGUUCUAUGAGUUUUGAUAAAUACAUAGAGUCAUGUAACAUACGCUAUCAUAAUCAAUAUACACAAUAGUUCCAUUACACCAAAAAAUUCUGUUAUCCUUCUCCUUGAUUCAACUACUCCACUCAUCCCCAAACCAUGGAAAGCAGGCAUCUGUUCUCUGUCACUAUAAUUUUGACUUUCACAGAACAUCAAAUGAAUAAAAUCAUAUAAUAUGCAAUUUUCAAAUUUGACUUCUUUCACUUGUAAUGAAUUUAAAUUCAUCUAUGUUGUUUUAUGCGGGCACCAGGGUGGCUCAGUGGUUAAGCAACUGCCUUUGGUUCAGGUUGUGAUCAUGGGGUCCUGGGAUCCAGUCCCACAUCUGGCUCUCUGCAGGGAGGCUGCUUCUCCCUCUGCUACGUCUCUAUCUCUUUCUGUGUGUCUCUCAUGAAUAAAUAAAACAUUAAAAAAAAGAUUUAUAUUGUUUUGUGUAUCAAAAGUUCAUUCCUCAUUAUUGGUCAGUAGUAUUACAUAUACUACUUCAUGUAUCUACUGUAACAGUAGGUUAUUCAUUCAGUAGUUGAAGGACAUUUCAGCUUCCAGUUUUGAUGUUAUGAUUCUCUUAUAUGAAAAUAAUCCAGGUAAUUUAGUCAGGAUUUGAAGAUGUCAUACUUUAGAUUAUAAUACUUUCUAUUUCCUAUACAAUCAUCAGAUCCUCAGACAAAGGUAAUUAUGAAAUUAGGGAAAAACACUGAAAUAGAAAAGCAAAUUUUUAAAAUUUAAUUAAGGUCACCUUUUAAUAAGUUAUUUUUUAAUCUAUUUUCUCAUAAAUAAAAGUCUUAAUAGCUAAAUCCAUUUUUAUUUUAUCUUUUUAUAAGAUUUUAUUUAUUUAUUCAUGUGAUACAGAGAGAGAGAGAGAGAGGCAGAGACACAGGCAGAGAGAGAAACAGGCUCGUUGGAGGGAGCCUGAUGUGGGAUUCGAUCCCAGGACUCUAGGAUCAUGCCCUGAGCCAAAGGCAGAUGCUUAACUGCUGAGCCACCCAGGUGUCCUGCUAAAUCCAUUUUUAAAUAUUAAGUUUCCUCCUCCAAAUAAAAUCAUAUGUUACUUUUAGUAAUUUGGAAACAAACAAAAAUAAAACUGUAAUCAUAGGGAUAAUGUUUCUUGGUUUUCUAUUAAAAAGUAAAUCAGAUAUCUAAAAAGUAUUAUAAAAUAAUUAUUCUCCAGUUCCCCUGAAUAGGCUCAAAAGAGAGAACUGCCCUUCAUAUUGGGAAAGCACCUAAAUAUCCUCUUUAGGCAUUUAUUUUUUCAAAUGCUCAUCUAUAAUGGUAGCUCCUUCUCACACAGAAUCACUUCCAUCUCUUUCUCCCAUAUUUUAGAUCUGCCUUUUCUCUUCCAUAAGCAGAUAUGUUCUUCAAUGUAAAUAAGUUUAGAUAUUCAACUUACAUAUUCAUUAAUAUGAUCAAUGCUCAUGCCUUCUACUUUGCAAAAGUAAACCAUGAUGCUCAAAGUUCUUAAAUGAAAGACUAGUAUUAAGAUAGAAAAAAAAGGGAUCCCUGGGUGGCGCAGCGGUUUAGCGCCUGCCUUUGGCCCAGGGCGCGAUCCUGGAGACCCGGGAUCAAAUCCCACAUCAGGCUUCCGGUGCAUGGAGCCUGCUUCUCCCUCUGCCUAUGUCUCUGCCUCUCUCUCUUUCUCUCUCUGUGACUAUCAUAAAAAAAAAAAAAAAAAAAAAAAAUUAAGAUAGAAAAAGAAAAACCUUAAAUCUUAGAUACAGUUAUUCCAGUAAAGGCGAUCUGAAAGCACAUUCUAACUGACCAUAACUGAUGGCAAAGAGAAGAGAUAUGAUAAUGACUUCUCGUUCUUAACAUUUAUAAUUUGUAUACAUGGUGUUUUGUAUUAUAUUUGUAUUUAUUGAUCUUAAUUGCUUAUGCUUACUUUUAAAUACAUUUUGAUGCAGGAAUCUUUCUCAUUAGCAUCUUUAAUCUUACUUUAAAAGUGUUGACAAAA